AUUUCGUCUAAUUUUUACUAGAAAUUUUUAGUUAUCAUUGUUCAAUUUAUAAUCAAAUGAUUAUUGUUAUAUCCCAACUCCAAAUCACCAAUACAAGUUUUCAAAAUUCACAAGCUAGUACAACCGUAGAAGUAUAGCAGCUAUUAAACAUAGAUAACUAGUUAUUUGAUAAAACAUGUCAUGAUAAAGAUGCAGUACUUGACAAUAUGAUCUCCAAGAUCAAACUAAAGCUGAUAAAGAUGCGGUACUUGACAAUAUGAUCUGUAAGAUCAAACUAAAACUGAUACGGAUACAAAAAGACAACCCAAAUGAAUUGUGGAGAAGAAUUGGGGUUAUGGGAGAAUACGUGCUUUCGACGACUUUAGGGUAGAUGAUGUUGGAAACAAUACUUCUAGCGUAAUUUUUUUUUUAAUUAACAGAUGUAUGUUUUGGUCAUUUAGCUUACCUAUAAAAUCUUAAUAGAAACAUAAAAUAAUAGAGGUGUGUAUUAAGAUAUUAGGGGUGUGUCUUUAAAAUUUCUCUAAAUUUAGGCAUGAAUAUAAUGAAAAAAUAUGGUUUCAAAAAUAUUUUUAUAGAAUAAAGACAAAAUAAUCUAGAGCCUUAGAUUUGAGAAGGAUAAGAUUGAAUUUUUACUUUUUCAAUGUUGCCUCAACCUUGAUUCAAAUUAAUAUUUUAAAUAGG
rnacentral:lncRNA from 1 species